UACGGGGGGGGCAAGCGUUGUUCGGAAUUACUGGGCGUAAAGGGCUCGUAGGUGGCCAACUAAGUCAGACGUGAAAUCCCUCGGCUUAACCGGGGAACUGCGUCUGAUACUGGAUGGCUUGAGUGUGGGAGAGGGAUGCGGAAUUCCAGGUGUAGCGGUGAAAUGCGUAGAUAUCGGGAGGAACACCGGUGGCGAAGGCGGUUCUCUGGGCCUUACCUGACGCUGAGGAGCGAAAGCGUGGGGAGCGAACAGG
rnacentral:rRNA from 1 species